rnacentral:rRNA from 1 species
AUGAACGCUGGCGGCGUGCCUAAUACAUGCAAGUCGAGCGAACAGACGAGGAGCUUGCUCCUCUGACGUUAGCGGCGGACGGGUGAGUAACACGUGGAUAACCUACCUAUAAGACUGGGAUAACUUCGGGAAACCGGAGCUAAUACCGGAUAAUAUAUUGAACCGCAUGGUUCAAUAGUGAAAGACGGUUUUGCUGUCACUUAUAGAUGGAUCCGCGCCGCAUUAGCUAGUUGGUAAGGUAACGGCUUACCAAGGCAACGAUGCGUAGCCGACCUGAGGGGGUGAUCGGCCACACUGGAACUGAGACACGGUCCAGACUCCUACGGGAGGCAGCAGUAGGGAAUCUUCCGCAAUGGGCGAAAGCCUGACGGAGCAACGCCGCGUGAGUGAUGAAGGUCUUCGGAUCGUAAAACUCUGUUAUUAGGGAAGAACAAAUGUGUAAGUAACUAUGCACGUCUGGACGGUACCUAAUCAGAAAGCCACGGCUAACUACGU